rnacentral:lncRNA from 1 species
GGAAGCAAGAUGCUUUGGGGCCUCUCUGCCCCUUUGGAAACAAGGCAGCACCUUGGGCCUGGCAGCUCUAGGGCAAUGGAGCACACCCAGAGCAGAAGUUCUACUUCAGCCAGAUCAGGCCUGCCAAGAAACUGCGUUUCACAGGCCUUUCAAAGAGAUGUUCUCUUAGGCUGUAAUAGCACGGGGCAGAGCCAGCUGUUUCUUAGCUUCCCGAAGAGCUGGGAGCAUGAUACUUUGGGGACCCUUUCCCCUUUUGGAAACAAGGCCGCCCUUGGGGCCUUGCAGCUGUAGGCCAAUGUAGCACACACAGAGCAGAAUUUCUACUUCAGCCAAAUCAGGCCUGCUAGGAAACUGCGUAUCACAGGAGUUGGUAAGAGAUGUUCAUGGUAGGCUGUAAGAGCACUGGGCAGAGCCAGCUGUUUCUUAGCUUCCCGAAGAGCUGGAAGGAAGAUGCUUUGGGGCCUCUCUGCCCCUUUCCAAACAAGGCAGCCCUUUGGGCCCGGCAGAUCUAGGCCAAUGGAGCACACCCAGAGCAGAAUUUCUACUUCAGCCCAUCAGGCCUGCUAGGAAACUGCGUAUCACGGGCCUUGGUAAGAGAUGUUCCCGGUAGGCUGUAAGAGCACUGGGCACAGCCAGUUGUUUCUUAGCUUCCCGAACAGCUGGAAGCAGGAUGCUUUGGGACCUCUCUGCCCCUUUGCAAACAAGGCGGCCUUUUGGGCCUGGCAGCUCAAGGACGAUGGAGCACACCCAGAGCAGAAGUUCUACUUCAGCCAGAUCAGGCCUGCCAAGAAACUGCGUUUCACAGGCCUUGGUAAGAGAUGUUCCCGGUAGGCUGUAAGAGCACUGGGCAGAGCCAGUUGUUUCUUACCUUCCUGAAAAGCUGGAAGCAAGAUGCUUGGGACCCCUCUGCCCGUUUGGGAACAAGGCAGCCUUUUGGGUCGGGAAGCUCUAGGCCAAUGGAGCACACGCAGAGCAGGAGUUCUACUUCAGCCUGAUCAGGCCUGCAAAGAAACAGCGUUUGACAGGCCUUGGUAAGAGAUGUUCCCGGUAGGUGUAAGAGCACUGGGCAGAGCCAGUUGUUUCUUAGCUUCGCAAAGACCGGGAAGCAAGAUGCUUUGGGCCUCUCUGCCCCUUGGAAACAGGGC